rnacentral:rRNA from 1 species
UACGAAGGGGGCUAGCGUUGUUCGGAAUUACUGGGCGUAAAGCGCGCGUAGGUGGUUUGUUAAGUUGAAUGUGAAAUCCCCGGGCUCAACCUGGGAACUGCAUGCAAACUGGCAAGCUAGAGUAUGGUAGAGGGUGGUGGAAUUUCCUGUGUAGCGGUGAAAUGCGUAGAUAUAGGAAGGAACACCAGUGGCGAAGGCGACCACCUGGACUGAUACUGACACUGAGGUGCGAAAGCGUGGGGAGCAAACAGG